GACGAACGCUGGCGGCGUGCCUAAUACAUGCAAGUCGAGCGCAGGAAGCCGUUCCGAACCCUUCGGGGGGACGACGGUGGAAUGAGCGGCGGACGGGUGAGUAACACGUAAAGAACCUGCCCAUAGGUCUGGGAUAACCACGAGAAAUCGGGGCUAAUACCGGAUGUGUCAUCGGACCGCAUGGUCCGCUGAUGAAAGGCGCUCCGGCGUCGCCCAUGGAUGGCUUUGCGGUGCAUUAGCUAGUUGGUGGGGUAACGGCCCACCAAGGCGACGAUGCAUAGCCGACCUGAGAGGGUGAUCGGCCACACUGGGACUGAGACACGGCCCAGACUCCUACGGGAGGCAGCAGUAGGGAAUCUUCCACAAUGGACGAAAGUCUGAUGGAGCAACGCCGCGUGAACGAUGAAGGCUUUCGGGUCGUAAAGUUCUGUUGUAAGGGAAGAACAAGUGCCGCAGGCAAUGGCGGCACCUUGACGGUACCUUGCGAGAAAGCCACGGCUAACUACGUGCCAGCCGCCGCGGUAA
rnacentral:rRNA from 1 species